GACGAACGCUGGCGGCGUGCUUAGCACAUGCAAGUCGAACGGAAAGGCCCUGCUUUUGUGGGGUGCUCGAGUGGCGAACGGGUGAGUAACACGUGAGUAACCUGCCCUUGACUUUGGGAUAACUUCAGGAAACUGGGGCUAAUACCGGAUAGGAGCUCCUGCUGCAUGGUGGGGGUUGGAAAGUUUCGGCGGUUGGGGAUGGACUCGCGGCUUAUCAGCUUGUUGGUGGGGUAGUGGCUUACCAAGUCUUUGACGGGUAGCCGGCCUGGGAGGGUGGCCGGCCACAUGGGGCCUGAGGGAGGGCCCAGUAUCCAACCGGAGGCAGCAGUGGGGAAUAUUGCACAAUGGCCGGGCGCCUGAGGCGACGGCGCCGCGUGCGGGAAAACGUCUUUCGAGUGAAAAACCAAUUUCGACGGUGACGAAGCGGGAGUGACGGUAAUGAAUAAAGAAGCAACGGCUAACUACGUG
rnacentral:rRNA from 1 species